AUUGAACGAUGGCGGCAGGCUUAACACAUGCAAGUCGAACGAGUGGCGGACGGGUGAGUAAUGCUUGGGACUCUAGCUUAUGGAGGGGGAUAACUACGGGAAACUUUAGCUAAUACCGCGUACCAUAGGAUGAGCCCAAGUGGGAUUAGGUAGUUGGUGAGGUAAAGGCUCACCAGGCCGACGAUCUCUAGCUGGUCUGAGAGGAUGACCGGCAACACUGGGACUGAGGCAGGGCCGAGACGCCGACGAAGGGCAGCAGUGGGGAAUAUGGAGCAAGGGGGGCAACCUGGAGCAGCCAAACAGCGUGAAGGAAGAGGACCUUCAAGUUGUAAAGUUCUUACGGUAGCGAGGCGUUAACUACAGAGGAAGAACCGGCUAACUCGGUGCAAGCAGCCGCGGUAAUC
rnacentral:rRNA from 1 species